rnacentral:rRNA from 1 species
GACGAACGCUGGCGGCGUGCCUAAUACAUGCAAGUCGAGCGAACAGACGAGGAGCUUGCUCCUCUGACGUUAGCGGCGGACGGGUGAGUAACACGUGGAUAACCUACCUAUAAGACUGGGAUAACUUCGGGAAUCCGGAGCUAAUACCGGAUAACAUGUUGAACCGCAUUGUUCAUCAGUGAAAGACGGUCUUGCUGUCACUUAUAGAUGGAUCCGCGCCGCAUUAGCUAGUUGGUAAGGUCACGGCUUAGCAAGGCAACGAUGCGUAGCCGACCGGAGAGGGGGGUCGGCCACACUGGAGCGUGGACACGGUCCAGACUCCUGCGGUAGGCAGCAGUAGGGAAUCGUCCGCAAUGGGCGAGAGCCUGGCGGAACAGCGCCGCGUGAGUGAUGAAGGUCUUCGGAUCGUGAAACUCUGUUAUUAGGGGAAAACAAAUGUGUAAGUAGCUGUGCACGUCUUGACGGUACCUAAUCAGAAAGCCACGGCUAACUACGUG